AAGUGUUGAAAGAAGAAUGAAAGUUAACUGACAGCUUAUAGGAAAAUUACAGGCUUAAUUGAUUUCAGUUAAAAGGUAGUAAUUUCAUAAAUCCUUGUAAUUUUGGUGGCAGUGUAGCUGACACAGAAAAGGUUUAUUUCUUGCUGAAUAUUUUGUUACCCUUUUUAAAAGUAUUUGUUUGUUUGUUACAAAUGUUGUUUAAUAAUUGAAUGUUUAUUUGAGUAUUGUAUAUGUUUAACAAUUGCCAAUAGUGACACCUACUGGUGAAAAUAUGUAGCAUUGUACGUAUGUAGGUCACGUGGUUUGAUAAGCUGCAUUGAGCAUUGGGAAAGCACGAGGUGAUCACGAACGGAGAAGUGUAAGAUCGUAAGAAGUAAAAGAUUAAUAAGAUUGUUUGUUAAGAAGAUCUCUAAUGUCUCCUGAAUCCUGAUUGGAAAGCACACGUUUUUCACGGUUCUCAGAUGUUUGUGAUGACAAGGGGACAGACAUUAAAACUGAAAAUCUGAAUCUGAA